rnacentral:rRNA from 1 species
UGCAGUCGAGCGGAACGAUCCUAGCUUGCUAGGAGGCGUCGAGCGGCGGACGGGUGAGUAAUGCAUAGGAAUCUGCCCGGUAGUGGGGGAUAACUUGAGGAAACUCAAGCUAAUACCGCAUACGCCCUACGGGGGAAAGCAGGGGCUCUUCGGACCUUGCGCUAUCGGAUGAGCUUAUGUCGGAUUAGCUGGUUGGUGAGGUAACGGCUCACCAAGGCGACGAUCCGUAGCUGGUCUGAGAGGAUGAUCAGCCACAUCGGGACUGAGACACGGCCCGAACUCCUACGGGAGGCAGCAGUGGGGAAUAUUGGACAAUGGGGGCAACCCUGAUCCAGCCAUGCCGCGUGUGUGAAGAAGGCCCUCGGGUUGUAAAGCACUUUCAGCGAGGAAGAAUGCUUGUCGGUUAAUACCCGGCAAGGGAGACAUCACUCGCAGAAGAAGCACCGGCUAACUCCGUGCCAGCAGCCGCGGUAAUACGGAGGGUGCGAGCGUUAAUCGGAAUUACUGGGCGUAAAGCGUGCGUAGGCGGCUUGAUAAGCCGGUUGUGAAAGCCCCGGGCUCAACCUGGGAACGGCAUCCGGAACUGUCAGGCUAGAGUGCAGGAGAGGAAGGUAGAAUUCCCGGUGUAGCGGUGAAAUGCGUAGAGAUCGGGAGGAAUACCAGUGGCGAAGGCGGCCUUCUGGACUGACACUGACGCUGAGGUACGAAAGCGUGGGUAGCAAACAGGAUUAGAUACCCUGGUAGUCCACGCCGUAAACGAUGUCGACUAGCCGUUGGGGUCCUCGAGACCUUUGUGGCGCAGUUAACGCACUAAGUCGACCGCCUGGGGAGUACGGCCGCAAGGUUAAAACUCAAAUGAAUUGACGGGGGCCCGCACAAGCGGUGGAGCAUGUGGUUUAAUUCGAUGCAACGCGAAGAACCUUACCUACC